CCAUUUUAGCUAACCCUGAGAAUGAGAGCUCAUGGAGAUAUCUUCGAGGCCUGUACAAAGGGGACACCCAAUCUUUGAGUAAUGAUCUUCAAGUCUCUUCUGUAUGUUUGAAGGUUUUGAAUGGCAAAACCAACCAUGUAUUUGCUCUGAGCAUGCUCUUGGAUCUUCUCUGCCAUGGUUUUCAAGCAAACCAAGAGUUUAGAGAUGCUGUUAAUGCUCUGAGGACAUCAAAUGCAGAUCCACCAGAGACUGACUUGGCUAAAGCAGUAUGUUCUGUCUUGGAGCAUUUCGAUCCACUGCGAGUUAACUAUUGGAGCUUUCGCAAGAGCAAGCUGCCAGUGUCAGCCUAACUAAUUAUUGGGUUAAGCAUCAUUGUGGCUUCUUGGGUUGAUUAGUUUUCAAGGAAUAGAUUUGCAGAUGUGAGGACACGGUUCUGAAUAUUCAUUUCUUGUAAUUUGUAUUGUGAUAAAACCCUAUUUAAUUCAACUUUGAGCAUACAAGUGUGUAUUUUCGACAGUCAAUUCACUGUAAGAUGACACUUCAAAAUUGAGUAAACCUUGUACUGUAGUUGUUACUUUUAACUUAAAUGUCUACCCUACCUGCAUGAUUGACCAUCGGUAUAAAAG
rnacentral:misc_RNA from 1 species